UACAGAGGUCUCAAGCGUUAUUCGGAUUCAUUGGGCGUAAAGGGUGCGUAGGCGGCGCGGUAAGUCGGGUGUGAAAUCUCGGAGCUUAACUCCGAAACUGCAUUCGAUACUGCCGUGCUUGAGGACUGGAGAGGAGACUGGAAUUUACGGUGUAGCGGUGAAAUGCGUAGAUAUCGUAAGGAAGACCAGUGGCGAAGGCGGGUCUCUGGACAGUUCCUGACGCUGAGGCACGAAGGUCAGGGGAGCAAACGGG
rnacentral:rRNA from 1 species